rnacentral:rRNA from 1 species
CAGCAGCCCGAGUGGUGAUCGAUUUUAUUGAGCCUAAAGCGUCCGUAGCCGGACUAGUAAACCCUUGGGUAAAUUGGGCAGCUUAACUGUCCAAAUUCCGAGGGGACUGCUAGUCUUGGGACCGGGAGAGGUCAGAGGUACUCCAGGGGUAGGGGCUAAAUCCUGUAAUCCUUGGGGGACCACCAGUGGCGAAGGCGUCUGACUAGAACGGAUCCGACGGUAAGGGACGAAACCCUGGGGCGCGAACCGGAUUAGAUACCCGAGUAGUCC